AGCAGUAUGGUGUAUUGCUGCACACAGGGUUUUCAUUAGCCCUUCAACGUUGAUACAUUAACCUGAGGCCCUUGUUCGAACCAAGGUACUGCUC